ensembl:lncRNA
AGCAGGGUUGCUCUGUGUGGUCAGUGUCGCAGGGUGAGAAGAAGGGCUCCAGAGAGGUGGAAAACCCAGGGGGAAAAUGAGAAGCAGGAAACCAGUAGGAUUGGAUUGACAGGUGAACAAAAACUCAGUGACUCUCCUCCUGUUGCCCCUGCAUCCUGUUUUGAGAGAGCCAUCCAUUUGAGCAUCAUUCCAGGAUAUGACACAGUAGAGCUACUUAGGACAUCUCAAAAAGCCUUUUGGAGAACUGAAGCCUCCUUUACACUUCUCAGCAUGGUCCCAGCACUGUAGGAACUCUGCUCUUCAGGUGAACGGGAUCCAUUACUCUUCCUGGUUUAUGU